UUGCCUAACAGGGCCAAAAGGGGCGGGGCCUAAGGCGGGACCGAGCGUGACCUCGAGGAGCUGGGGCGGGAUGGAGUCUUAAUCUGGGCCUGGGAAUUAAGGAGCCAGUCGCUGGCGGGGGUGGGCUGGACCCGGCUGAAGCUGGGCGGGGCCGGGUGUGUGUGCGGGGGAGAGGCUAGGGGCGGAGAAAGGACGGAGAGGUAAUCGCAGGUAUGCGGAGCGUGAGUCUGAGCUGUGUGCGCGUUCCAGUUCAGCGAGCAUGUCGUACGCGCAGGUACAGUGUUGGACUUCAGGCUGGGGGAGGCUGUUAGAACCAGAGAUCAUCCCGCCAGGAAGAAGCCCACAGGGUUCUAGCCCGGUGUGUGUCUACCCAGCACGCGGCCGGGACUCCGGGGGCCUUCCUGGAGGUGGUGACAGGGGUGGGAGACAGCGAUGAGGCUGGGGCAGCGUCCAGGCCGGAGAUGGGGGACUUGAGCCAGGGCGGGGAGGGUGUGUGGGAGGCGCUACUGAAGGUAGGGUCCUCCUAGGAGGGUCAAACUUGGGGGUUCAGGGGAGGUGAUUAAGCUCUGUUUUUCAUAUUCUUUUAGGAACCCUCUGAAGCGCAGAAAGUAGGAAGGUACUGGACACCUCCACCACCCUUUCUCCCCAGCCUCGGGGUUGCUCUCUCCCUCUGGCCCAGCCGCCACCCAACAGACCGAGGGUGCCUGUCUGACUGUGCCCUGCCUGGGGCACGGGCAUCCCCUCUGAGCUGAUGUUGGGUGAAGGAAUGAAUGAUGGGGAUGGUGACAGCACCCAGGAGCUGACCGUCCCCAUCAGAGCAGCAGCCUCCCACUCCCAUUUCUUGGGAAGACCUGCACACCCAGCGGCCUCUGGGGGAUGCCAGAGGGUGGGGGAAAGUCAACUGGUCACAAGAACAGCCCCGGAGGGACACGAUGGUGGCAGAGGCGUGACUUCACCAAGAACCCUCCCCUCAGGGCCCCUGUGGACAGAGAAUGUUGCUCACCAUCAAGCCUUCUGCCACUGCAGCGCCACCCCCCUUCCCCACAGUGGUGCGCCGUGAGGGGAUUCAGGAUGGAGAAGAACCAGAUACUGGCCCUGGAUAGCUGAAGUGCAUAUCCAAGGAAUGAUUUCAGUGAGCCCAGACAGCAUCUAGCAUCUUCCCAUACACAGAAAAGCACUGCAAUCAUUAACUAGAGAUGUCAGCUUUUUGUGAUUAGCAGGAACCUUUUGAUGUUUGACUCUAUGGGGUUUUUUUCAGCAAAAACUCCGAGGAACAGUUCCUCAGAGCUAUAUGAGAGGCAAUGUCUUGGGCUACAGUCCUCAGUAAGUUCCUGGAAUAAAACAUAACUCACAGCU